UAGUGUGAAGGUAUGGACAAGAGAACGUGUUCAGCCAUUCUCUUAGCUUCUGCACUGGCAAUUGCAUUCCAAGUCUUUGUUUUAUCUCCAAUAUCACCUGAUAUGCUCCUUCUUCCAACCUCUUCAAUCCCAUCAAACAGCAAGUUACAGGUGAAUAUAUAACUUACUCGUAAUUCGUGUAUGUGUAUAACCAACGGUUGAUGCUACUAGUUUCUUUUUGGCCUAAUAACUAGGAAGCGAGUAAACUUGGAGAAGGGCUUUUAAAGAAACCAGAAGCCAUUGCUGUCGACAAAACGGGCGUGCUUUAUACGGCUACAAGAGAUGGUUGGAUCACAAGAUUGCACAGAAAUGGAUCCUUGGAGAAAUGGAGGCACAUAGACAGCCAUCAUUUACUUGGAGUAACUGCAACAGCAGCUGGUGAUCUUGUCGUCUGCGACGCAGAGAAGGUAAAUCGUGUUGAAGAGUAACAUUUUCUUAACAAUUUUAGCUUUCCGAUGAGGUUGUUGGACACAUCUGGUGAAAGCAGUUCAGGUCUCAUCUUUAACCAUUUAUGGAAAUUGUGCACUUUUUUCUUAACAAUUUUAGCUAUUUGAUGAGGUGAUUAGACACAACAUCAAAUGAAAGCAUUUCAAGUCUCAUCUCUAAGACUCUAACCAUUUAGGACUUUAUUAAGGCUCCGUUUGAUACUUAUUUUUUUUCAAAAUAUAUUUUUAUCUCUUUUCUUUUCAACCACAUAUUUUUUAUUAAAAUAAUAUUAUAUGUAAAUGAAAAAAAUUUCAUUAUUUUUCAACCACACAUUUUCCACCAAUUUACUAUUCAAAAAUGUAUUUUUACGUAAAAAUGUCUCCCAAACACCCUCUAAAACUAUUUGUCUUUCGAUGUGGUGGUUAGACACAAUAUUAGGUGAAAUCACAAUUCAAGUUCCGCUUGUCAUCAUUUAAAAUAAAUAAAUAAAUUUGUGCACCUUUAUGAAAAUAAAUAUGAUGUGCAUGUGACAAGACAUUGUAAAACCAAAUUUUUAAAUAAGCAAAUACAAUCCCUUGUUAAUAAAUAAAGUUCUUAGAUGGGUUCAUUAUGCCUUAUACUUCUCAAGAAUUUUGUUGAGAUUCUCAAGUAUUUUACUCUCGUAAUUAUCGUGAUGGCACAGGGUUUGCUCAAGGUCAGAGAAGAUAGUGUCACCGUUCUUGCAUCCCAUGUUAAUGAUUCCAAAAUUUUGUAAGAUCCCUUGUAAAUUCGAUGUCAAUUUUCAUAAUGAAUUGCAAAAAAAUUGAUCUGCAACUUGUGUUAAACAAGCUUGUCUAGAAACUUCAAUGUUAGGUAGGAAUGCUUUACUCUCUCCCUCUUAAUUUUUUAUUUUUUUUAUCAAAUCAUCUUUGGGACCAUUUACUUUGACAAUUUAUAGUCUCUAGCUAAUUGAUGUCUAUUUGAAUACGCAAUGAGACUCAUUUUAUAGUUGUCUCUAUCUCUCUCUCUUAUUCCAACGAGAGAUAUAAUUGAAGAGUGAGAAGCUAUUAUUAAAAACAACAAAAAAGUUAAAAUAUUAUUUAUUAUAUGGAUAUUAAUCUUCUGUUGUUGGUACCAUCAAGAAAAUGCAACAAGUCAAUCCUGCAUCGAUACAAGUGUUGAAGCUUGGAAAGCCUCAAAAAAAUUCAUGUCGAUCAUAUACUAUUUAAUUUAGUUUGAUUAGUAGAUUUAUUUACCUUAAUCCUCUUUAAAAAAAAAAAAAAAAGCUUUUAUGGCCCUAAUACAUGUUUUAUAUUUAAAAUUUAUUUUCUAAAAUUAGAAAAAAAAAUUGUCGAUUUUACAUAGAGAUGACAAUUUGCCCCGUCCCGCCUCAACGGGGUCACGCCCCAAAUGGGGCAGAAAAACUCGCCCCGAUGGGUUGAUGGGGUGAGCUCGCCCCGCCCCGUGAAUAUUAAAUUUUUUCGAGUGUUUCUUUGAAUAUUGAUGUUAAUUUGAGCAUUAGUUGUUUUGAAUUUUUAAAUUUUGAAUUUGUAUUUUAUUAUGAAAAUACGUGGUUGAAAAUGAGUUUGAAAAAAAAAAAAUUGAAAUAAUAAUAGACAAAAAGGGCUAUGCUAUAAAGUUUGAAUAUUUACUUAUACAUUAUUUCAAAUAUUUAAAAGUUCUGCAGAUGAUGUGAUAGAAUCAGCAGAUGGUACUUUGUACUUCAGCAUGGCAACUACGAAAUUUGAGCCCCAUAAUUGGCACCUUGAGGUGCUCGAGGCAAAGUCGCAUGGCCAACUUGCAAAGUACGAUUCUUCAUCAAAGGAGACAUCUAUUUUGCUUGAUAAUCUUGCCUUUGCAAACGGUGUUGCCCUCUCAGCAGAUCAAGAUUACUUGGUCGUUUGUGAAACUUGGAAGUAAGUAUUUUUCCAACAAUAAAUGCUUAAUUUUUCUCAGUUUCCUCGGACAAAACUGGUAACAUAUUUAGUUGUGUUAGCUUCAACAAUAACAAAUUAAGUCCAUAUUUGAUCUUCAUUUUCUAAAAUUCAUUUUUCGUCAAAUUUAUUUUCAACAAUACAAUUAAUUAAUUUUUAUCAAGAUCUACUCAAAAAUAUAUUUCUCUAGAACAAACAGGGGCUAAAUUUUAUUCUUAAUAAAAUUGACAAUGGUUACAUAAAUCCUAUUUUUCUAGUCAAUUCUACUCGUUGCUAUUAGAUUAUUUUAUCCUACCACUUCCUCUUUAUGACUUGUGCCUUGAGAUAUCAAAAUAUGAGGAUUUGAAUUAUUUCUCUUAAUAAGGUUGAUCUUUUUAAGAUGAAAUAUUUAAUUUUACUACAGUAUUAGAGCUUUUAAAGUCAAAUAAAUAAUUUAAUUCGAUUAAGAUUCAAGCAAGCACAUGAAUCUUAAUAUUGACGUACUCAGACGAAGCUCCUUGUCGAGGGCAUGUUAAUAGCUACAUUAGAAGUUUACACAAGUAGAUUUACCCCUUUCAGCUGUUGCGAAAUUUAAUGGCUUCCUAUUUGUGAUUUUGUGGGCAGAUAUAGAUGCUUAAAAUAUUGGCUAAAACAGGAAAAGAGGGGACAAACUGAGGUAUUUAUUGAUAAUCUUCCUGGUGGGCCUGACAACAUAAAUCUUGCUCCAGAUGGCUCUUUUUGGAUUGCUGUGUUAGAGGUAAAACUCACUAUGAAGCUUAUCGCGGGAUUGUUUAACAAAUCAUUUCAUAAAAGUUUUCAACAAAUUUUGAUAAAAAUUGAUACAAUAUGCAAUUAAAAAUUGAUAAAAAUUGUGACUUCUCAAUAUAAAUGGUUAAAAUCGAAAACUGAUCCAUUGACAAGCACGAGGAAUUAUUUCAAGAAAAGCUGCAAAAUUUGAAGUCAAAUAACCACAUAAAUUUCUUGUGUUUCUCUGAAGGUUUAAAGAAAUUCAAGAUGAGAAAGCUAAAAUCUUGUCGAACUAAACUUUCUUUUUAGAGUAAUGCUAUUUAAUCCCAUCGGGACUGUAACUCAAAUUUAGGUGGCGCUAAAUGAUAGAUUAAAUGAAAGGUGGAAUCAAAUUAUUCAUUUAGUUUGACAUAUCAUUUAAUGUCACAUUAACUACAUAAUAUUAUUCUUCUUUUUAUUUUCCAUGUAUUCCUUUCCCUAUUUUAUUAUUCGAGUAACAAAUUGAUCUCUAACCUUAAAAGGGGGCAAACUUGCCCCCAAACAUUUUUUUAAACUUGAAAUAAUAGGUCCUCAAUAAGCGUCAUGUGACCCUCACCUAUCCGACUUUAUGAAGCCAAAUUUUGCUUUGCAACCUAGGCUUGUGCCAGGGACAAGUUAAUGAAGAUGUAGUUGUAGACCAACUGUUACUCAAGUGAUAGGUCACUGAAAUUCACAACAUAAUGUUCACAAUAUUUAUAGAAGAAAACUUUCUUCAUACUCGAGAUGAGAUAUAUUGUCACCUUUACACCCCCCCCCCCUCCCCCGCAAAAUGCAGCAUGAGUGAGUUCAUGUCUAAAAUAUGCGUUGAGAUAUUAUUUUUAAGAUCUCGAUGACACAAUAGAUUCCAACUCAUCAUAUGAAGACUUUCUCUGCUGCUGCAGGUGGUUCCUAAAAGGCUGGCAUUUGUACAUAAAUCAAGAGCGAUAAAACACAUUAUAGGGCGUUCCUCUAAAUUAAGCAAAUUGGUAACUGGUUUCUACAACAAAGCAAUGGUUGUCAAUGUAGCAAGUGAUGGCAAGAUUAUACGGAGCUUCGACGAUCCAACGGGAAAGGUUAUGUCCUUUGUAACAUCUGCACUGGAGUUCGAAAAUCAUUUGUAUUUGGGAACUCUUAAUUGUGACUUCAUAGGGAAACUGCCGUUGACAACUCCAUGAAAAUAGCACUAUUUGACUGGGGAUUGCACGCAUCAAUAAUAUUGUAAAAAAGAGUGGUAAAUAGUUUUGUUCCCUUGGUGCUGGUUAUAUUUUGUACUAAGAGAACUUUUAUGUGUAGUAUUAGACGAGACUAGAAGUGCAAUGAACGAACUUUUAUGUUGGGAUGUGUUAAUCCAUUCUACCCAAAAUGAAUGAGAAUCUGGAGAAAAACCUCAGAUAUGAAAAAGCACUUGGACCGCAACUCCACCUGUGUUUUUCCACUUUAUUUCUCAAAUGGAAAAUACCGCAUUAACAAAAAAAUUCUAACAAUCACUUUAAUUUAUAAAAGUGAUUGUGACUACCGCAUUAAGUGCUUAUUCGAUAAUGAUUAUGAAAAUUGAUUUUUUGAUCGUUAGAGAGAAAAGUGGGUCACCUGUAAGUGAUAAAAGUCAAAAAUGACUAUUAGAGUAAUAAAAUAACAAUUAAAAAUUAAUUUUUUUAAAGUGAAAAAUUGCUAUCAAACGAAAUAAGUCUGUAGCUAAUUGAUGUCUAUAUGAAUACGUGAUGAGAAUCAUUUAGUUGUCUCUAUCAUCUCACUCUUAUUCAAUGAUACAAUAAUUGAAGAGUGAGACGCUAUUAUUAUAAUAAUAAAGUUCAAAUAUUAUUUAGGGGUAUUUUAAAAAAUGUCUAAUUUCAUGGGUAUCAAUUGAAAAAUGUCCACUUUUUAAAUUUAGCAUUAAAUUAUCUAAUAUGCCCUUAAUGAAAAAAAAAAAAAAAAGCAAUUUAUUUAUUUUUUCAAUUUGUUGCCGAUUUCGAGAAGUAACUUUUAUGAGAAGUUAUAUUAAAAUGAUGUUAUCGACAUUUUACAUGUCAUUCUCGAUAUUUGAAUUUCGUUUAUAUUUUAAAGUACACAUGUCAAAUCACAAUAUUAAAUGUUCUCGACAUUUUAAAUAUCUAGAAUGAAAUUUCAUUCCGAAUAUGAUAUUUCUCUACACUUGAAAUGUAGUUCUCGACGUUUCUGUGUCAAUAAGAAAAAUAGCAUUAAUUGUGAUUUGAUAUGUGCACUUUUGAAAUAAAUAUGACAGGUUAUGUGUCAAAAAUUUAUUGGCUAAUAAAAUUUUUGAAAAAAUGUCCAUUUCUUAUCUUUGUGAGGAAUUAUAAAUUGUUCACGGGGAUAUUUUGGUUAAAAAUAUUUCAAAAUGGACAUUUUUGCAAAGAUUUGUGAAAGUGGAUAUUUUUGCAAAUGAACAUGUGAAAGUGAAAAUUUCAAGUAAUUUCCUCUAUUAUAUUAUUUAUUAUACGGAUAUCAAUCUUCUAUUGAGUGCCACCAAGAAAAUGCAACCAUUUAGUCAAUCCUGCAUCCAUUUAAAUCUUGAAGCUUGGAAAGCUACAAAAAAAUUUCAUGUUGAUGAUAUACUAUUUUAAUCUAGUUUGAUUUGUAGAUUUAUUUACCUUAUCCUCUUUAAAAAAUAUAAAAGCUUUUAAGGCCCUAAUAAUUUUUUUAUAUUUAAAGUUUAUUUUCUAAAAUUACAAUUAAAAAAGAAAUUGGCCCAGUCGAUUUUACACAUCUAGAUUGUAUUAUGUAUUUGGUAAAAAUAAAAAUAAUAAAAGGCAAACAUGCUAUGUAUUCAAUUAAUUUGGAUUAAUUAAUUGUGUAUUCAAUUAAAACGAGUUUUAAAAUAAUGAAUUUUCGAAGAAUGUGUGAAUAAAAGUAGGAAAAAGUUUUAAAUGUACUUACAAAAUAAUUUAUUGAGAGAAUAUGCGAUUGAAUAUGAGUUUGAGAAAAAAAUUGAAAUAAUGGUAGAUGAACAUGGCUAUGUUAUAAAGUUUGGAUAAAUGGCAACUUGCAAGAGAUGAUUCUUCUUGAAAGGAGAUGUCUAUUUUGCUUGAUAAUCUUGCCUCUGCAAACGGUGUUGCCCUCUCAGCCGAUCAAGAUUACUUGGUCAUAUGUGAAACUUGGAAGUAAGUUUUUUUCAACAAUAAAUGCUUAAUUUUUCUCAUUUUACUUGACAAAACAACUUAUUUAGUUGUGUCUGCAUCAACAAUAAUAAAUUAAGUCCAUAUUUUACCCUGAUUUUCUAUAAUUUAUUUUUUUGUAAAAUUGUUUUCAAUCACACAAUUAAUUAAUUUUUAUCAAAAUCUAUUAAAAAUUUGAUUUUCUAGAACAAAUCGAGGCUAAAUUUUAUUUUUAAUAAAUUUGAUGUAGACUACAUAAAUCAUUUUUCUCUAGUCAAUUCUAUUCAUUGUUGAAUAUUGAGAUGAUUUGUUUAUGACGGAGGGACCCGACAAUGAGGCGCUCCAACAUUUGGUCCCAUGUGAAGGACACCGCGUAGAGAUGCGACCUUCCGUUGAUGAGAUGGGGCUGCCAGCAAUGAUUUGCGCAAAGUGAAAGAAUCAAAGUGAGGAAUACGGGAAUUAGAUUGAACAUGGUUUACUGGAUGGGUGUUUUGUGUAUUCUAAUUCAUAGGAUCUAGGAAACUAAGGGUGUGUUCUCUUUCUCGUUUUUGACUCGUUCUCUUUCUCGUUUUCGAUUUUUCAAAACGAUGAAAACUUGUUCUCUUACCCGUUUUAGAAAACACGUUUCCGAAAACACACAAAAAAAUUGUGAAGAAAACGAAAAACGACCAAAAUAUCGUUUUGGCUAUUUUCUAUAUAAAACUCCAAAAAAUUGCAAAACACAGGAAAUGCCUUUUGAAAGACAAAACCAAAUCUUCAUCCACUUUCUUCAAAUCCAUUCUCUGCCUUAUCUUUCUCUUGGACACCGUCUGUGGGUGAUCGACACCAGCUAUGGAUGGUCGCACAUUUCAACCAAUGACGAAGGAGAUGUGGUAGUAUCGACACCAGCAUGGGGACGCGUGCUGUUAUGAACGCAGCGUCGCAACCCAUUCAUCGUAACCCAGGGAAGGGGACGUUACUGUGGUUUGGGGCCGUCUCUACCAGCAGUCGAAGAGAGAAAAGUUGCAAUUCAUCGCGAUGGGUGAUCGACACCGCAAAUCUGUCCAGAAUCUGCUUUCUCUAUUUUUUGGGAGUUUUUUCUUUUGUUUUUUGGAUUUGGAAGGCGAUAGGUGUUGAUGGUGGUUGUAAUGGUUUGUUUGUGGUGGCAGUGGUUGAUGGUGGUGGUGUGUGGUAUUGAUUUUGGAAGUGGUGAGUGGUUCAGGGUGGUGGCAGUGGUUGAUGGUUGGUGGUGGCAAUGGUGUUGAUGGUUGAUGGUGGUGGCAGUGGUGUUGAUUUUGGUCUAUGGUAGUGGUGGUGGUUGUCUCUGUUGGCGGUGGUUGAUGGUGGUGGGCUAAGAGGAAAACACAUUUUCCAAAAUUUCAAAGAAUUUCAUAGUGGAUACAUUUUCCAUUUUUCUGUUUUCAGAAACGUUUCUCAAAAUGUCAAACAGAACGUAUUUUCAACAAUUUCAAAAUGUACACUCAGAACACAAAAUUCAAAAUGAAUUCAAAAAUAUAAAACUAAAACACGAAGAGAAAACACCCUAAGGUUUUGUAUAUAUGGAUUUGAAUUGUUUAUAUAGGUUUUUCUCUGACAUUGGACACGUUUCAUUUUAUUAUGAACUCCACUAGAGUUGUCAGAAAUUGAACGCUUUUUCUCAAAGGGUUUGCUGAUGGUCACAUGGUUGAAGGUGGUGGCAUUGGUAUGGUUGAAGGAUGGGGAAGAAGAUGAAGUGUAGUGGGAUGGGAUAGGAGGGAAAAUAUAAAGUUUAAAGGUUUGGGAUCGUGGAUGGUACAUAUAAAAAUUUUGGAUGUAAUUUGUAAAAAAAUAAAAAAAUUUAGCAAUUAUUCUUUUUUAAUUUUGUUCAAUUUUUACUAUUUUUAACUAUUAAACUAAAGGAUAUUGAUUGUAAGGAAAAUUUUCAAAUAAAAGAAUACAAAUAGAUGGUUUUCUAUGAUUUCCAGUAGGGAGUAUACCGUACAUUGACAAGUUUUUUGGAGAGUUUUUUGCUAUUAAUCAUUUUUAUAUUUGCUUUCUAAUCUUUUCUUUUACUCAUUUUUCGAUUUUGGAUUGUUUAUCCACCCUCAAGUUCACGCCUUCUAAGUUUUAUUUGUGGUUACUUUAGAACAAUGUGCUAUUUUUAUUUGAAAAAUUCUAUAAAAUAUUUAAAGUGAAAAAUAAACUAAUUCUUGAAUUUCAAUAAUUUGCUUCUUUUUUCAUUUCAUUUCUAUUUUUCUUAUUUAAUUUUAUUUUUAUAUCACACUAAAAUAUAUAAGCAUCAUUUGUUGAAGAUUUCUAUAUAUUUAUGAGUAAAGCCUCUUAUACACCGAGUUUUACACUCCCCUCACAUGGAGGGAGGGGUUCACGCCCAAUUAAUGCGCAAGCCCCGCCCCCAUGUGAGGGGGUUGUACAUUGAGCUGUAAGACUCGAUAUAUGUGUAGCAGCUCCAUAUAUUUAUUGUCUCAUUUUCUACUUAUAUUAGAAGUGGACAUAAUGAAAAUUAAAUGUAGCCAAGUACAAAAAAAUAUUGGUUCAACCCAUUUCGGCCUUUUGACCAUUGAUCCUUUUAUUUUUUUGGGGUCGAUUUUGAAAACUUUGAUAUACAAAAAUAUAUCUUAAUACUAUAGGAUCGUCAAAAAAAGGCACUGGGGAAGAAUAUGUUCUUGAGUAACAAUGACCGAUUGAGGAAUUCAUCAAACAGGUCGACGUUUUACCAAUUUUUUGGUCCAAAUGCACCACAAUGUUAUACUCAAAAUUUGCGCAAAAAUCCUUGAUCUAGAUCUGAAUAUGAAUCUGAAUCUGAAUCUGAAUUGGUAUGCAUUAUUGAUCAAGAAUGCUGUAGCCCUUAAAAUAUUCCUAACAGGCCAUACUUGUGAGCUUGUACAUAUAGCAGAGGGAUUCGAUUAUAUACUCUUAGGGAACAUAAAAAAGUCGUGACAAUCAACUAGUACAUUUUAUAUAGGUGACUCUUCAACAUGACUUCGUCUAACUUAGUGAUAAGCAUAGUUUUAAUACAUAAUUUGCCCUUAAUCUUGCUUUUCUUAGUUAAUCUUUUCUUAUUCAUAUGUUUUGAGUUGGAAUGGGUUAACAAGAAUCAAAGGGAAAUUUGUUUACAUUUUAUUAGUUAAAGAAUGGUUGAUUAAAAAGUUUGAGCCAUUGGUUUGAAUGGAUCGUACAAUUUUCAAAGGUGAGUUUAAUGUGCUUCUUUACUUCUCACAACAACACGUAGCACGCACAUGUUAACGUGGGUGGACUGACUACUAAUUUCUAUCUAUUUUAUUUUUAUCUUUUUUAUUAAUAAUAAUAAUUAGUAUGCGUCUUAAAUAAUUGUUGGAAUAUAGGGACUAAAAUUGCAAUUUUCAUUAUGAUUAGUAUUGGGCAUUGUUCUAAAAAGCUCCCAUAAGUUUUGUCUUGCUUGAAGCAUGGCCUUAUAGUCUAAUCACGCUUUACACUUUUUUUUUACGCAUAUGCAAAAUUUGCUUUUCAAAAUACUAAUAUUACGUUUCUAUAUUUCUAUAAAAGGGUCCUCCUGAUUCUGGGUGUCGUCAAUUGAUAUUUUAAUGAAUUUUAAAUAAUUAUAAAUUCUAAUAAAUUACAUGAAUUUGAAUAUAUUUCCUCAUAAUCCCAUAAUUUUAAUAGAAUUUGUAAAUUUUAAAGGAUUUAAUUGAAAUACAUUAAAACCCAAUUGAAAACACCUGAAUCUUGAAUAAUUUUUAAAAUUCGUUAAAAUUUCAACCGAGAACCCCUAAUCAUGUAUCCAUCUGCAUCACACCACUAUCCAAGAAGAGACUUAUCCAAUUUUUGGAGUCAUGGCUUUUGUCAGCAAAUUUGUCUUUAAAUUAAAAAGCCGUUCAUCACAGCCUCCAUUGGAAGUACUAGUGUCAAGGUAUGGACAAGAGAACAUGUUCAGCCAUUAUCUUAGCUUCUGCACUGGCAAUUGCAUUCCAAGUCUUUGUUUUAUCUCCAAUAUCACCCGAUAUACUUCUUCUUCCAACCUCUUCAAUCCCAUCAAACAGCAAGUUACAGGUAAAUAUAUACCUUACUCGUAAUUCGUGUGUGUGUAUAACAAACGGUUUAUGCUACUAGUUUCUUUUUGGCCUAAUAAAUAGGA
rnacentral:lncRNA from 1 species